CCUAUGGGAGGCAGCAGUUUUCGAAUCGUUCACAAUGGGGGCAACCCUGAUGGCGCGACGCCGCGUGGGGGAUGAAGGUCUUCGGAUUGUAAACUCCUGUCAUUGGGGACUAACGGCCAGGCUCAUACCCUGGUUUGAAUUAACCCAAAGAGGAAGCAGUGGCUAACUCUGUGCCAGCAGCCGCGGUAAUACAGAGACUGCAAGCGUUACUCGGAUUCACUGGGCGUAAAGGGAGCGCAGGCGGAUUAGUGUGUCAGGCGUGAAAUCCCGGGGCUCAACCCCGGUACCGCGCCCGAAACUACUAAUCUAGAGACUUGGAGGGGUAAGCGGAAUUCUUGGUGGAGCAGUGAAAUGCGUAGAUAUCAAGAGGAACACCAACGGCGAAGGCAGCUUACUGGACAAGAUCUGACGCUCAGGCUCGAAAGCGUGGGGAGCAAAAGGGAUUAGAUACCCCUGUAGUCCACGCUGUAAACGGUGCGCAUUAGGUCUUGGAGCUUUCGAACGCUCCAGGGCUCAGCUAACGCAUAAUGCGCCGCCUGAGGCUACGGCCGCAGGCAAACGUCAAAUGAAUUGACGGCNGAGAGNGCGAGACGACGACGAGGGAGAGG
rnacentral:rRNA from 1 species